GAUGAACGCUGGCGGCGUGCCUAACACAUGCAAGUCGAGCGAUUUACUUCGGUAAAGAGCGGCGGACGGGUGAGUAACGCGUGGGUAACCUGCCCUGUACACACGGAUAACAUACCGAAAGGUAUGCUAAUACGGGAUAAUAUGCUUUAGUCGCAUGGCUGAAGUAUCAAAGCUCCGGCGGUACAGGAUGGACCCGCGUCUGAUUAGCUAGUUGGUAAGGUAACGGCUUACCAAGGCGACGAUCAGUAGCCGACCUGAGAGGGUGAUCGGCCACAUUGGAACUGAGACACGGUCCAAACUCCUACGGGAGGCAGCAGUGGGGAAUAUUGCACAAUGGGCGAAAGCCUGAUGCAGCAACGCCGCGUGAGCGAUGAAGGCCUUCGGGUCGUAAAGCUCUGUCCUCAAGGAAGAUAAUGACGGUACUUGAGGAGGAAGCCCCGGCUAACUACGUGCCAGCAGCCGCCGUAACAC
rnacentral:rRNA from 1 species